GAAACCUGCACCUGGGGAGGCACUUUAAGUGUCUCCAUGCACUUCUGCAUGUGUGUGCCUGCUGCGUAUGAAAUGGAGAUCAAAAUAAUUGCUCUUCAGGAACUCUCAGUGGGACAAUCUGGAGGUCAGAUUCCUUGUUCAAACUGGAUUACCUUCUAAAGGAAAAGUCUGAAUCUCCACAAAGCCACGCUGAUAGAGUGAGGCAUUAGGAUUUGGAGACAGAGAAAAGUGAAUCACCGUCUUUUCAUUUUAAAGCCGUAAUUUUCUUCAGACUUCCUGUGCUCUGCUUGCCCUUUUUCUGUGUAGCACUCACUUCAAAGUACACUAAAACAACCACACAUCCCGAAGGCUCGGUUAAGGCCUCAUUUGCUACCUAACUUGUGUUUUUAACUCAUAAAUAAAUCAGAUUAUCUUCUCCAAGCUGAACUCCUGUUGAUGACGUCAGGAAUGUUUACCGGAAACGAUGCAGCUGCUGUUCUUGUCCACUAGAUGGAGACAUCCCAUCAGCUUCACGGUGCAGCAGAGGAAGCUCAUCUUCCUCAGAUGAUUAAUGAUGAAUCCACGUCACAUCUGAUCGGGGCGGAGCCAUCCUAGUGGGAGGAGCUAAUAAUGACACACCUGUUGUUCCUGUUCAGACAGGACAGUCUGCUGAUGUCUCCGAUGGGACAAACUGGAGGACUUAUCUGCUUCUCAGCCUUGUGUCUGGAGGACACAAGCCCUGGGUUCUGGUUCUGGAGUGAUCCAUAAUCUCUGCUUCAAAGAGCUGUCCUCAGUGAGCUGCAUGGACUCUGCAGGGAAACCAUCAUUCUACCCUGCAUCUGAGAAGAAGAUGAAGAUCUACCAGAGAAGGUUAACAUCUCCAGGAAGUUAAAGGUGAGAGGAACAUGUUGGACAUCAAGGAUGGUCUACAGGACUUUUCUCAUCUGGACCAGAAGUUCAGGAGGACAACCAGAACUGAAACAUUCCCAUCAUGAUGAAGAAACUCAGGUCAGAGGAUGUUGACACAGGCAGGUGUUUCCUCAGAGAAGGUCCAGACUGGUGCUGGGACAAGUGAGCCAUCAAGCCCAGUAGAGACUGGUUCCCUCCAUCCAUGUGUGUAUUUCUGUACCAGCAUGUGUUAAUCUGAACGUAGCAUUAAUAGGUGAGAGAGCUGCACAGUCAUGGUUUCAUGUAACAGAGUCCAUGAAGGAGGUUCCUGAUGGAGGAGAACCUGCUGCUGAGUCAGCAUGAAGUUUAUUUGUUGCUGUUUAUGAAGCUGGAAUCACAAAUAUGUAAACCAGGAGCUAGAAAUAAAACCAGAGGAGAAACUUU